rnacentral:rRNA from 1 species
GAUGAACGCUGGCGGCGUGCUUAACACACGCAAGUCGAACGAAGCAUUUGCGACAGAUUUUUUCGGAAUGAAGUUGCUUAUGACUGAGUGGCGGACGGGUGAGUAACGCGUGGGUAACCUGCCUUGUACUGGGGGAUAGCAGCUGGAAACGGCUGGUAAUACCGCAUAAGCGCACAAUGUUGCAUGACAUGGUGUGAAAAACUCCGGUGGUAUAAGAUGGACCCGCGUCUGAUUAGCUAGUUGGUGAGAUAACAGCCCACCAAGGCGACGAUCAGUAGCCGACCUGAGAGGGUGACCGGCCACAUUGGGACUGAGACACGGCCCAGACUCCUACGGGAGGCAGCAGUGGGGAAUAUUGCACAAUGGAGGGAACUCUGAUGCAGCGACGCCGCGUGAGUGAAGAAGUAAUUCGUUAUGUAAAGCUCUAUCAGCAGGGAAGAUAGUGACGGUACCUGACUAAGAAGCUCCGGCUAAAUACGUG